rnacentral:lncRNA from 1 species
UAGCAUCUAUAAAUACAAUAGUCAUUGUAUAGAGUAUAUGCCAUCUUUCAUAUAAUUAACAGAGUUAACGUAAGUUCUCUUUCACUUUGUAUUGAUCUCUUUGUUCUUUGAUUUUCUUAAGUACUUAGAAAUAAUGUUUGCCUUUCUUGGUUCUUUAUUUUUUUGUUUAUUAUAUAAAGAGUUUUAUACUACGUUCCUGUAAGCAAAGCAAAAGUAGUGGUUAUUUGUUAACGUAUAUUAGAUGUGACAAACUCUCAAGUAUUUCAAUUCUGUUUUUAAUAUAAUUAUUCUAAUUAAUUGUGUUAACUAUUGCAGCAAUUCGAGUUUGGCAUAUAUACCAAUAAUUAAGCAAGGAUGUCUACCUCAAGAAACAACACCGAGAAGAUCGAGAAGCUGCAAAAUACGUUGGGCGAGGUGAGAGAUCAGAUACAAGAACGAAGAAACUACAUUAAACAAUUUGAGCAGAGGCAAGAAAAUGAUGGAGUUGAUAUGAGGAAAGAAAUAUUUGAAGCCACAAUCCAAGUCAGUAAUUUGAAGGAUAAAGAGAUGAAACUUGAAGACAAAUUGAAGGAAAAGGGCGUUUUUUAUACCGUAAAAUUUUAUAAUGGCUAGUAAAUCAUACUAGAUGAUUUAGGACUUCCCAAAAUUUAUUGCUAGCUAGCUGAGGACUUCAAAUUUUAUAUUCCAGUCAUUACUUUCUUUUUUGUUGUUCAUUAUUUUCUUUUUAAUUAUUAUUUAAAUAAAGGGAAGUACGCAUAUUUUACUUUA